CUGAGACCUGAUGCCGAGCCGAUUGUGGUGAAGUGGAUGAUCCUAUGCUGUCGAGAAAAGCCUCUAGCGAGUUUCAUGGCGGCCCGUACCCUAAACCGACUCAGGUGGUCAGGUAGAGAAUACCGAGGCGUUCGGGUGAACUAUGGUUAAGGAACUCGGCAAAAUGCCCCCGUAACUUCGGGAGAAGGGGGGCCACUUCUGGUGAUCACUCUUGCAGUGUGAGCUGGGGGUGGCCGCAGAGACCAGCGAGAAGCGACUGUUUACUAAAAACACAGGUCCGUGCGAAGCCGUAAGGCGAUGUAUACGGACUGACGCCUGCCCGGUGCUGGAACGUUAAGGGGACCGGUUAGCUUGGAUUCGUCCGGGCGAAGCUGAGAACUUAAGCGCCAGUAAACGGCGGUGGUAACUAUAACCAUCCUAAGGUAGCGAAAUUCCUUGUCGGGUAAGUUCCGACCUGCACGAAUGGCGUAACGACUUCUCGACUGUCUCAACCAUAGGCCCGGUGAAAUUGCACUACGAGUAAAGAUGCUCGUUUCGCGCAGCAGGACGGAAAGACCCCGGGACCUUUACUACAGUUUGAUAUUGGUGUUCGGUUCGGCUUGUGUAGGAUAGGUGGGAGACUGUGAAACUGUGACGCCAGUCAUGGUGGAGUCGUCGUUGAAAUACCACUCUGGUCGUGCUGGAUGUCUAACCUGGGUCCGUGAUCCGGAUCAGGGACAGUGUCUGAUGGGUAGUUUAACUGGGGCGGUUGCCUCCUAAAGGGUAACGGAGGCGCCCAAAGGUUCCCUCAGCCUGGUUGGCAAUCAGGUGUUGAGUGUAAGUGCACAAGGGAGCUUGACUGUGAGACCGACGGGUCGAGCAGGGACGAAAGUCGGGACUAGUGAUCCGGCGGUGGCUUGUGGAAGCGCCGUCGCUCAACGGAUAAAAGGUACCCCGGGGAUAACAGGCUGAUCUUCCCCAAGAGUCCAUAUCGACGGGAUGGUUUGGCACCUCGAUGUCGGCUCGUCGCAUCCUGGGGCUGGAGUCGGUCCCAAGGGUUGGGCUGUUCGCCCAUUAAAGCGGUACGCGAGCUGGGUUUAGAACGUCGUGAGACAGUUCGGUCCCUAUCCGCUGCGCGCGCAGGAACAUUGAGAAGGGCUGUCCCUAGUACGAGAGGACCGGGACGGACGAACCUCUGGUGUGCCAGUUGUUCUGCCAAGGGCAUGGCUGGUUGGCUACGUUCGGGAGGGAUAACCGCUGAAAGCAUCUAAGCGGGAAGCCUGCUUCGAGAUGAGUGUUCCCACCUCCUUGAGAGGGUAAGGCUCCCAGUAGACGACUGGGUUGAUAGGCCGGAUAUGGAAGCCCAGUGAUGGGUGGAGUUGACCGGUACUAAUAGGCCGAGGGCUUGUCCUCAGUUG
rnacentral:rRNA from 1 species